CUCAUCUUGGAAUUCAACAAAGCCGGAGGCCGGGAUGAUUUAGAAUCUCUUGGAUAUGUUCUCAUAUAUCUCCUAAGGGGAAGGUAAAUACUCCAUGCACUUUUAACUGUCUAUGCUCUAUAUUGCAUAUAUAGUUUGGACCACAUAUUAUGCUCCAUUUCUAGUUUCUGGCAGCUUUCCUUGGCAGUACUUUAAAGCAGUAAAUCCAGAAAAGAUCGAAGUCAGAAAUGGUUAAAAGUUUGAUGGAUCCCACUUCUAUUGAGGACUUAUGUCACGGUUGCCCCAUAGAAUUUGAGUCUUGCUUUCAUUACUGUCGCUCACUUCACUUUGACAGUGAGCCAGAUUAUGGCUAUCUGAAAAGAAUGUUCAGACAUCUUUUUUCUCGUGAAGCUCUUGGUAGGUCUUCAGUGUAUCCUUUGAGCAGCAGAAUAGCAAGGCCAUCAAUCAGUGUUGGAAGAUUUCCAGAAGAGAAGAAUGUUGCAAAGGUUUCAGAAGUAGCUCUUGGUGCUAAGGUGGUAAUUGCUCCGAGCUCCUUCGUGCCAAGUGCGCCAUCAAGGCGCCACUAGUGCCCUACAAGCUUCUGCCUCUUAACAGCGGGAAUACUACUCCAGUGCCAGAUAAAUCAAGUCCCUCUUGUGCUCAAACCAGCAAAUCUGUCCAGAAGAGAGAAACUCAGCAGAGAAACUCUUCCAGAUUCUCGAAGCCAAGGGCACAUCUUCCGGCAGAAAGGGUUGGAAACCAUGAGCAUAUUUUUAAGUGCUUGAGGGCCAUACCCUAAACAAUGGUGAGAAAUGUUAGCUUUGAGGGAAGCUGUUUGACAUAUCCCAUUCUCCUCUCAUGUAAAUCGUAAUUUGUCAUAGUACUGUUACAUCUUAAGCUAAAAUUCAGCUUCUAUUAGCAUUCUUUUCUAUUCACACUUCAUAAUUUACUGAUGA